rnacentral:rRNA from 1 species
AGAGUUUGAUCCUGGCUCAGGAUGAACGCUAGCUGGAGGCUUAAUACAUGCAAGUCGAGCGGGAUUGGUAGCAAUACCAUGAGAGCGGCGCACGGGUGAGCAACGCGUACACGACCUACCUCUGACAGGGGGAUAGCCCUGGGAAACUGGGAUUAAUACCGCAUAUUAUUCUGAUUAAUAAAGGAUUGGAAUGAAAGUUCAGGCGGUCAGAGAUGGGUGUGCGUCUGAUUAGCUAGUUGGUAGGGUAAUGGCCUACCAAGGCGAUGAUCAGUAGGGGGCGUGAGAGCGUGAUCCCCCACACGGGUACUGAGACACGGACCCGACUCCUACGGGAGGCAGCAGUAAGGAAUAUUGGACAAUGGCCGCAAGGCUGAUCCAGCCAUCCAGCGUGCAGGAAGAAGGCCCUAUGGGUUGUAAACUGCUUUUAUCAGGGAAGAAACCUCUGGAUUUACUCCGGAGCUGACGGUACCGAAGAAUAG